rnacentral:rRNA from 1 species
UACGUAGGGUGCGAGCGUUGUCCGGAAUUAUUGGGCGUAAAGGGCUCGUAGGCGGUCUGUCGCGUCGGGAGUGAAAACUCAGGGCUUAACCCUGAGCCUGCUUCCGAUACGGGCAGACUAGAGGUAUGCAGGGGAGAACGGAAUUCCUGGUGUAGCGGUGAAAUGCGCAGAUAUCAGGAGGAACACCGAUGGCGAAGGCAGGUCUCUGGGCCACUACUGACGCUGAGAAGCGAAAGCAUGGGGAGCGAACAGG